rnacentral:miRNA from 1 species
GCGCCUGCAUUGGUUGGCUGGGUGACUUUUGUCACCACUGGGGUUGGUUGGGGAGGAGGUGU